GAUGACCGCUAGCUACAGGCUUAACACAUGCAAGUCGAGGGGAAACGACAUCGAAAGCUUGCUUUUGAUGGGCGUCGACCGGCGCACGGGUGAGUAACGCGUAUCCAACCUGCCCAUCACUUGGGAAUAACCUUGCGAAAGUAAGACUAAUACCCAAUGAUAUCCCACGAAGGCAUCGGAAUGGGAUUAAAGAUUUAUCGGUGAUGGAUGGGGAUGCGUCUGAUUAGCUUGUUGGCGGGGUAACGGCCCACCAAGGCAACGAUCAGUAGGGGUUCUGAGAGGAAGGUCCCCCACAUUGGAACUGAGACACGGUCCAAACUCCUACGGGAGGCAGCAGUGAGGAAUAUUGGUCAAUGGGCGAGAGCCUGAACCAGCCAAGUAGCGUGCAGGAAGACGGCCCUAUGGGUUGUAAACUGCUUUUAUAAGGGAAUAAAGUGGGUCACGUGUGACUUUUUGCAUGUACCUUAUGAAUAAGGACCGGCUAAUUCCGUG
rnacentral:rRNA from 1 species